UACGGGGGGGGGCGAGCGUUGUUCGGAAUUACUGGGCGUAAAGGGCGCGUAGGCGGUUCGCUAAGUUGGAUGUGAAAACUCUGGGCUCAAUCCAGAGCCUGCAUCCAAAACUGGCGGGCUAGAGUUCUGGAGGGGGUAGCGGAAUUCCUGGUGUAGCGGUGAAAUGCGUAGAUAUCAGGAGGAACACCGGUGGCGAAGGCGGCUACCUGGACAGAAACUGACGCUGAGGCGCGAAAGCUAGGGGAGCAAACAGG
rnacentral:rRNA from 1 species